AUUGAACGCUGGCGGCAUGCUUUACACAUGCAAGUCGAACGGCAGCGCGGGCUUCUGCCUGGCGGCGAGUGGCGAACGGGUGAGUAAUGCAUCGGAACGUGCCCAGCAGUGGGGGAUAGCCCGGCGAAAGCCGGAUUAAUACCGCAUACGACCUGAGGGUGAAAGCGGGGGACCGAAAGGCCUCGCGCUAUUGGAGCGGCCUAUGCCGGAUUAGCUAGUUGGUGGGGGAAAGGCUUACCAAGGCGACGAGCCGUAGCUGGUCUGAGAGGACGACCAGCCACACUGGGACUGAGACACGGCCCAGACUCCUACGGGAGGCAGCAGUGGGGAAUUUUGGACAAUGGGGGCAACCCUGAUCCAGCCAUGCCGCGUGCGGGAAGAAGGCCUUCGGGUUGUAAACCGCUUUUGUUCGGGAAGAAAUCCUCUGGGCUAAUACCCCGGGGGGAUGACGGUACCGGAAGAAUAAGCACCGGCUAACUACGUG
rnacentral:rRNA from 1 species